rnacentral:misc_RNA from 1 species
AACGCAUAUUGCGCCCUUUGGUAUUCCGAAGGGCAUGCCUGUUCGAGCGUCAUUAUCAACCAUCAAGCCUGGCUUGUCGUUGGACCCUUUUUACCGCUGAAAUAUGUGGUAGGUCCGAAAGAUAAUGACGGUGUCGUGUUUGACCCUAGAUGCAACGAGCUUUUUAUAGCAUGUAUUGAAGUGGUCGGCCGACCCGGUCUUUAACCAUCAUUUUCUAAGGUUGACCUCGGAUCAGGUAGGAAUACCCGCUGAACUUAA